AUGCACCACCAUGCCCCUGCCCGGGUCGGAGCGGAGCGGACGCGAGUCCAGCACACAGACGUUUGCCGUCACCUCGGGGCUGUGCUGCCGCGUCCCACCACCAGCAAAGCAGCCGUCUGUCCUCGAGAAGCUCCCGCCCGGGGGGCGCAGGCAGCAGGGCAAAGCCCCCGGCCCCCCGCACGGGCCAACACGUUGGUUAUGCCCUGCUCAGCGCUGAUCUCUGGCAGCCAGCCUGGCUCCAGCACAGCCCCGCUCAGCUGCGAGCAAGACGGAAAACCCCUCAGAGAGGAACGCCGGCCGGGUCUCCUUCCAGGUGGAGGCAGCCCAGCAUCGGCCGGAGCCCGGGGAUGCCAGCAGCACCGCUGGGCUCCCUGUGCUCCCUUCCGGAGGCCUCCUCCGUCCUGGAGCACAGCCCUGAGCCCGCAUGGCAGCCAGUGCUUUCCGGGGUGCCGGUCCCAAAAGGAAGAGCCGGGAGCUGGCAGAGCGUUGGGGGGACCCAGGGUGGGUAGCGCCGUGCUGGGGGACGCAGGCAGGGCCAGGCUGCCUGCGGUGCGGUGCAGCCCAGCCGCCCCAGCCCCUGCCUGUCCCCUGCUCCCUGCACGCUGCUCCCUGCCUGCCUGUCCCCAUCCCCUGCUCCCUGCCUGUCCCCAUCCCCUGCCGGCAGCGGCGCGGGGAGCCCGGGCCAUCCCCGUCCCUCUGCUGCCCCCCCGCGGCCGCGACCCCCCCCUGCGCCCGGCCCGGCCGCUCCGCAGCGCCCCCGCCGCGCCGAGCCGCCAGCGCCUCUCACCCCGUCCCCUAUCCCCCCCCCCCCCCCCCCCCCCCCCCCCCCCCCCCCCCCCCCCCCCCCCCCCCCCCCCCCCUCCCCUGGGCCCCCCCCCCUCCACCCCCCCCCGCGUUUGCAGCACAUUUUGCACACGCGUGUGCUCCCCACCGGCGCAGCGGGUGCAAGGGGCUGCGCAGCACCUCGCCCGCACACGUUGUGUGCACGCACGGCCACGCACAGCGCUUGCAGUGCACUUGCUCCUGACACACGUGCGGGCAGUGCCACACUGGCACGUGCUGUGCGCACACGUGGCCAUGCACAGUGCACACGCUCCCGACAUGCGUGUGCACAYGCGUGUGCAGGCAAGCACUGAUACUGCACGCUCCCUCCCCACUCCUCCACCCAAACGCUCGGCCCCAGCACGCUGGCACUUGCUAACGCAUCCUCGCUUGUUUUUCCCCCUUUGCCUUGAGYGCCGCUGCCUGCCUCCCACGCGUUUUCACCCGACUCCCACUCACGGCGCGUUCAAGGCUCCCUGCUCUCGGCUCCCGGGUCUUGCGUCUGCCUCCCUGCUGCGUGCACCGAGGUCUCUCCUCACGCUGCUGCAUCCGUGGGACUUCCCCCGCGUGCGCCGCCUCCGCCUGGAAAAGCUGGGAGCUGGUCUGCAAAGGUCCUGA
rnacentral:lncRNA from 1 species